CCUACGGGAGGCAGCAGUGGGGAAUAUUGCACAAUGGGGGGAACCCUGAUGCAGCAACGCCGCGUGGGUGAAGAAGUACUUCGGUAUGUAAAGCCCUGUCAGCAGGGAAGAAAAUGACGGUACCUGACCAAGAAGCCCCGGCUAACUACGUGCCAGCAGCCGCGGUAAUACGUAGGGGGCAAGCGUUAUCCGGAUUUACUGGGUGUAAAGGGAGCGUAGACGGCAAGGCAAGUCUGGAGUGAAAGCCCGUGGCUCAACCACGGGACUGCUUUGGAAACUGUGUUGCUGGAGUGCAGGAGGGGUAAGCGGAAUGCCUAGUGUAGCGGUGAAAUGCGUAGAUAUCACACAGAACACCGAUUGCGAAGGCAUCUCACGAAUCCGCGAUUGACGCUGAUGCACGAAAGCGUGGGUAUCAAACAGGAUUAGAUACCCCAGUAGUC
rnacentral:rRNA from 1 species